rnacentral:rRNA from 1 species
UACGAAUGGGGCAAGCGUUGUUCGGAAUCACUGGGCUUAAAGCGUAUGCAGGCGGACUUACAAGUCAGAAGUGAAAUCCCUGGGCUUAACCCAGGAAUUGCUUUUGAAACUGUCAGUCUAGAAUCCCGGAGAGGUUAACAGAAUUCCGAGUGUAGAGGUGAAAUUCGCAGAUAUUCGGAGGAAUACCAGUGGCGCAAGCGGUUAACUGGACGGGCAUUGACGCUCAGAUACGAAAGCAUGGGGAGCAAACAGG